AGGAGAGUUUGAUUCUGGCUCAGGAUGAACGCUGGCGGCGUGCCUAACACAUGCAAGUCGAACGGACCCAAGGAAGAGAUUAGCUUGCUAUGAACUUCCGGAAGGUUAGUGGCGGACGGGUGAGUAACGCGUGGGCAACCUGCCCUGUACUGGGGGAUAGCAGCUGGAAACGGCUGGUAAUACCGCAUAAGCGCACAGUACCGCAUGGUACAGUGUGAAAAGCUCCGACGGUACAGGAUGGGCCCGCGUCCGAUUAGCCAGUUGGCGGGGUAACGGCCCACCAAAGCGACGAUCGGUAGCCGGCCUGAGAGGGCGGACGGCCACAUUGGGACUGAAACACGGCCCAGACCCCUACCGGAAGGAGCAGUGGGGGAAAUUGCACAAUGGGGGAAACCCUGAUGCAGCGACGCCGCGUGAGUGAAGAAGUAUUUCGGUAUGUAAAGCUCUAUCAUCAGGGAAAAAAAGGACGGUACCUGAGUAAGAAGCCCCGGCUAACUACGUGCCAGCAGCCGCGGUAAUACGUAGGGGGCAAGCGUUAUCCGGAUUUACUGGGUGUAAAGGGAGCGCAAACGGUUGGACAAGUCUGAAGUGAAAUUCCCGGGCUCACCCCUGGGAACUGCUUUGGAAACUGCCCGACUUGAUUGCUGGAGAGGUAGGCGGAAUUCCUGGUGUACCGGUGAAAAUGCGUAGAUAUCAGGAAGAACACCAGUGGCGAAGGCGGCCUAUGGAACAGAAACUGACCGCUGAAGGCGCGAGAGCGGUGGGGAGGCAAAACAGGAUUAGAUACCCUGGUAGUCCCCU
rnacentral:rRNA from 1 species